AAGAUUAAGCCAUGCAUGUCUAAGUACAUGCCGAAAUAAGGCGAAACCGCGAAUGGCUCAUUAAAUCAGUUAUGGUUCCUUAGAUCGUUUCUUUCUACUUGGAUAACUGUGGCAAUUCUAGAGCUAAUACAUGCAGGAAACCUGAAGGCCUUUGGCUAACGGGUGCUUUUAUUAGACCAAGACCCAUCGGGUUCUGCCCGUACUCUGUGGUGACUCUGGAUAACUUUGUGCCGAUCGCACGGCCACGAGCCGGCGACGUUUCUUUCAAGUGUCUGCCUUAUCAACUUUCGAUGGUAGGUUACUUGCCUACCAUGGUUGUUACGGGUAACGGAGAAUCAGGGUUCGAUUCCGGAGAGGGAGCCUGAGAAACGGCUACCACAUCCAAGGAAGGCAGCAGGCGCGCAAAUUACCCACUCCCGGCACGGGGAGGUAGUGACGAAAAAUAACAAUACGGGACUCUUUUGAGGCCCCGUAAUUGAAAUGAGUACACUCUAAAUCCUUUAACGAGGAUCAAUUGGAGGGCAAGUCUGGUGCCAGCAGCCGCGGUAAUUCCAGCUCCAAUAGCGUAUACUAAAGCUGCUGCGGUUAAAAAGCUCGUAGUUGGAUCUCAGUUCCAGACGAGUAGUGCAUCUACCCGAUGCGACGGCUCGGACUGAACAUCAUGCCGGUCUCUUCUUGGUGCCCUUCAUUGGUGCGUCUCGAGGUGGCCGGUGCUUUUACUUUGAAAAAAUUAGAGUGCUCAACGCAGGCGAGUCGCCUGAAUAAACUUGCAUGGAAUAAUGGAACAAGAUCUCGUUUCUGUUCCGUUGGUUUUUGGAAUACGAGAUAAUGAUUAAGAGGGACAGACGGGGGCAUUCGUAUUGCGGCGCUAGAGGUGAAAUUCUUGGACCGUCGCAAGACGAACUACUGCGAAAGCAUUUGCCAAGAAUGUUUUCUUUGAUCAAGAACGAAAGUCAGAGGUUCGAAGGCGAUCAGAUACCGCCCUAGUUCUGACCAUAAACGAUGCCAACCAGCGAUCCGCCUGAGUUACUCAAAUGACUCGGCGGGCAGCUUCCGGGAAACCAAAGUAUUUGGGUUCCGGGGGAAGUAUGGUUGCAAAGCUGAAACUUAAAGA
rnacentral:rRNA from 1 species